AUUGAACGCUGGCGGCAUGCCUUACACAUGCAAGUCGAACGGUAGAGUAGCAAUACUCGAGAGUGGCGAACGGGUGAGUAAUAUAUCGGAACGUGCCCAGUCGUGGGGGAUAACGUAGAGAAAUUUACGCUAAUACCGCAUACGAUCUAAGGAUGAAAGCGGGGGAUUCGCAAGAACCUCGCGCGAUUGGAGCGGCUGAUAUCAGAUUAGGUUGUUGGUGAGGUAAAAGCUCACCAAGCCGACGAUCUGUAGCUGGUUUGAGAGAACGACCAGCCACACUGGGACUGAGACACGGCCCAGACUCCUACGGGAGGCAGCAGUGGGGAAUUUUUGGGACAAUGGACGCAAGUCUGAUCCAGCCAUUCCGCGUGCAGGAUGAAGGCCCUCGGGUUGUAAACUGCUUUUGUACGGAACGAAAGGUUUGUCUUAAUACGAUGAGCUCAUGACGGUACCGUAGAAUAAGCACCGGCUAACUACGUGCCAGCAG
rnacentral:rRNA from 1 species